GCCGCUGUGGCGGAACAGGCAGACGCAACAGACUUAAAAUCUGUCGAUAGUAACUAUCGUAUCGGUUCAAGUCCGAUCAGCGGCA
rnacentral:tRNA from 1 species